UACGUAGGGGGCAAGCGUUAUCCAGAUUUACUGGGCGUAAAGGGCGCGUAGGCGGUUAGACAAGUGAGAUGUGAAAUCCCCGGGCUUAACCCGGGAACUGCAUUUUAUACUGUCUGGCUGGAGUACUGUAGAGGGUAGUGGAAUUUCCGGUGUAGCGGUGAAAUGCGUAGAGAUCGGAAGGAACACCAGUGGCGAAGGCGGUUGCCUGGAGCUUUGCUGACGCUGAGGCGCGAAAGCGUGGGGAGCGAGCCGG
rnacentral:rRNA from 1 species